UACAGUGUACUGUUGUGUAUGAGGACGAAGGAUUCAGCUGAUUUUGGGGAUUAAUACUUUUAUUUUUUGCAUCACGCCAGCCAAACGGCUGCAGAAAAAUCAUUCUGUAUGCGGGAGAGGCGUAUGCGCCUUUUUGGAGUUUCAAAAGGUUCCCAUUCACCGUGGAUAUUUACUGUGGGACCAUUGGACUUACAAGGAAAUGCACUUCUGGCAGAUGAAGAAUGUUCAGAAAAAGACUUCAACCCCAUAGUUGGUGCUGAAAACCAGAGGAAAUCAUCAAAAAAAGACGGCGUCCAGUGGCUGGGGAAAGGUGAAAGUCGGACCAGACUGGGAGUACGGUUUGUGUGGUCCAACACACGGACUCCCUCUCUCCACCGUGAUACUCCGGAGUUCGUUGCGAUGC